rfam:Mus musculus chromosome 14, GRC primary reference assembly.
UGAUGUCCCUCGCCCAUCCCUGAAGAUCCCAGGUGGGCGAGGACACGGGCAGAGGCAUC